rnacentral:rRNA from 1 species
UCCACGCCCUAAACGAUGAACACUAGUCGUCGGGAUGCUAGUCAUCUCGGUGAUGCACUUAACAGAUUAAGUGUUCCGCCUGGGGAGUACGGUCGCAAGAUUAAAACUCAAAGGAAUAGACGGGGACCCGCACAAGUGGUGGAGCAUGUGGUUUAAUUCGAAGAUACGCGAAGAACCUUACCUACCCUUGACAUCCACAGAACUUUCCAGAGAUGGAUCGGUGCCUUCGGGAA